UCCGCUCGGUGGCGAACGCUCCGUCGUUGGAUAGGGCUAUCCUUCCAUUCCCUCUCCUGCAUCUCUCGCAUUUAAGUUUCUCCUCGGAGAUCUCUUUUCCUUGGCUGUCGCGGAUUUUCUUUUUCUCUCUUUCGUAUCAAACACAUCUCAGUUAGUAUUCCUGCCAUCUUUGUUUUCGUCCUUUCGUUGUUUGCAACUGGUACAAAUAAUAUAGUGCAGUGAGAAUAAAAAUUGAUGAGCGCGUUAAAGUUAGGUUUUUUCUCUUUUCUUGGUGUUCUAUAAAGUUUCUUUGUCUUAUCCUUUCGUUUGAUGGCUUUGAGCUAUGGUUUUGCCCAUUGUCUUUGGUGGGCUCUGGAAUCGAGAUACUCUAUUUGUGGGAAAUGCGUGCUUUUCUUAAUCCUGCUUUAUUGCUUCAUGAUAUUAAUGGAAAAUUAGUUUUUGUUCGUCAAUCUGACUAUAGUGCUUGUUCUGACGAAUUUUAGCUUGAACUCAGUGAUAUCAAUUACUUGAUUAUAUUGCGACUAGGAGCUUUGGCUACUUUGUGGCGAAGGAUGGCGCCUGUGGUGGAAAAAAGGGAGCACAAACGACGGGACACAUCUGAUAGGUCUAGUUCUCCUAUUAGAUAUCAACGUUCCCCAUCUAGGAGGUCAUCCCACGGUCACAUCUGAUAGGAAGGAAUCAGGCCUGAAGGAGCUGAACAUGCUUGGUUCAACCAGUGAACAGAGACUGUGAUCUGUGAUCACCAAAAGAAGCUCCACUUGCCAUCAAUCAUGAAAAGCCAAACCUUUUUUCUUUGCCAAGAUAAGAGUACUGAGCGAGAUGAGAUGCAUAUUCUGAGACGAUGAGAGCAAGAACGCACACGAUGCCGGAGAGGAGGAAGAGGCCCCAGAAGCUACUGAGACUUAGCCGGUUGGCUUCUAGGUCGGUAUCUUGCGAAGAACAUUCAGUUCGCGAUAGCCACUUGUCAUGGAUUCUUUGGAGAUCACCGUUCUCGGACAGUGUCAGGAUUGCAGUAGACAAGUCAACUGCAAGAGGAGAGUCUCUCUGGAAUGCCUGUGUUCGAUGAUGAAGUUCCAAGUCCAUGUUAGAUGUUUACAGACAGCGAAGACAAUCAAUACAGCAGAGAGAUUUUGGCAGCAGAAAAUUAAGCUAACAUGACGAAUUGUGAGUAGAAAUCUACAAAAUGAGUCCCUAAGAUGAGAUGCAGUUUGCAAGUUCGUCACUUGGAGAUGUCAUGUUUAUAUUCUGAUAUGAGAAUGGUGAACAUUUAUUUGCAGCUCAACUCGAAGAAUUCAUAUGAUCAGAAUUGUAAC